rnacentral:lncRNA from 1 species
CCUCUCUUCUCCUUUGCCACCACCCCCCUCCCCACCAAUCCAAACACUUUGAGUCAGCGCUUCCCAAAUUAUGCCACUGAAAAGAGGGGGGAUCUUCUUGCAGCAAUACUGCGAAGGCCUGAAGUGUUUGUUUGCAAUUGUCCUAGUCGGUAACCUUCCAUCAAAUUUUGAUGACGCUUUUUAAAAUAAACUGAACCUAGCUUCUAGUAAAUGUGUCAGGCCUCACCCUGUCUGACAGGUGUGGAACUCGGCAGCAGAGACCUCAACCUUCUUAGCUGCCAUAGUGAGAGCAUUUACUAGGAGCCGCAGACUGUGCUACUAGAUGUUUUCCACUCUCGGUUUCGUCGAAUCCUCACAUGAAUGUGUGAAAAAGAGAUAGUAUUUCUACACUUUAUAAAUUAGAAAGCAGAAGGUCAGAGGAAUUAAGUAACUGGGCCAAGGUCCCCUAACUAGUCUUUGGGGCCUGUGCCUUUGAAGCCUGGAUCCUUUCCACAUGUGGACUCCCCCCUUCCGAUAAGGGCCUCGUCUUUAGGAUGAUCCAGAAUCCGAACCCGAGGCCCACACUGAAAGGGGCACCAUCAUAAUUAAACUGCCCGGCAGAUGGGAGGGACCUCAUUAGCCCAACUGCUUGUCUGAGGAACAGCCUGAGUCUGAUGACAGAGGGGGAAGUGACAUCAAGCACUCCUGGAAAAAGAAAAAAUGCCACCGCUGAGUACGUCUAAGGACCACAGUAUUGGGUGUAAGACGCUGGGGCACUUCACUCCCUCCUCUCUCUGGCUGUCCGAGGGCUCCUGACCCGGAUGCAGGGCUUUGUCAGUUACUCUGGGAAGUCUCUCGCUCAUCAGUUCAAGCCUGCUGGGCCUUGGCAAGAGUGCAAGGGGACAGCCAGCCCAUCUGAUGUGUUCCUGCACUCCCAGGUGCAAGAGGCAGGGCGAUUCCUGCCCUACCUGUUCUUCCCGCAGGCCAUGGGGGUGCGCGUUCCUCAUGGACACCUGGAGCACAGGUCCAGGUUCUGCUCUCUAAUCUAGCUAGGUGUGCCUAAUGCCGAAUUUCCAGAGCAGGAAGGAAAUUCGUCCUGGUGACCUAGGAGAGGGCUGGGUAAAGGGCGCAUAAAG